rfam:Rahnella aquatilis CIP 78.65 = ATCC 33071, complete genome.
AACGGUUUGUGGUUAAGACCUAUUUAUGUAAGACAUUUUAGUAAAGCAGUUCCUGGUUCAAGUGAUAUAGCAAAUCCUUUCUCCGACGAAUUUCCUUCUCUGAUGCAUCCAUAAGUAUUUCAAAUAAAAACAGACCUAUAUUGCCCUAUGGCAUCAUAAAAUAAAAACGAAGAAGGUAUUUCCUAUGUCUAAUAAAAUGACUGGUUUAGUAAAAUGGUUUGACGCUGGUAAAGGUUUCGGUUUCAUCUCCCCUGCAGACGGCAGCAAAGACGUGUUCGUUCACUUCUCUGCAAUCCAGAGCAAUGAUUUCAAAACCCUGGACGAAGGUCAGAACGUUGAGUUCACCAUCGAAAAUGGUCAGAAAGGCCCAUCAGCGGGUAACGUUGUCGUUCUGUAAUGUCGCCUGAUAUUGAAGGCAAACACUCUGCAAUAGCGAAGAUG